rnacentral:miRNA from 1 species
UAUAUAUAUAUAUAUAUGUAUACACACACAUAUAUGUAUAUAUUUAUAUGUAUGUGUAUAUAUAUGUACAUGUAUGUGUGUGUAUACG